rnacentral:rRNA from 1 species
UGGGGAAUAUUGCACAAUGGGCGCAAGCCUGAUGCAGCCAUGUCGCGUGUAUGAAGAAGGCCUUCGGGUUGUAAAGUACUUUCAGCGGGGAGGAAGGUGUUGUGGUUAAUAACCUCAGCAAUUGACGUUACCCGCAGAAGAAGCACCGGCUAACUCCGUGCCAGCAGCCGCGGUAAUACGGAGGGUGCAAGCGUUAAUCGGAAUUACUGGGCGUAAAGCGCACGCAGGCGGUCUGUCAAGUCGGAUGUGAAAUCCCCGGGCUCAACCUGGGAACUGCAUCCGAAACUGGCAGGCUUGAGUCUUGUAGAGGGGGGUAGAAUUCCAGGUGUAGCGGUGAAAUGCGUAGAGAUCUGGAGGAAUACCGGUGGCGAAGGCGGCCCCCUGGACAAAGACUGACGCUCAGGUGCGAAAGCGUGGGGAGCAAACA